GGAAGGAUGCCCGAAUGGCUAAGGAACCGGUCUUGAAAACCGGCAAAAUCGCAAGAUGUCUGGGUUCGAGUCCCAGUUCUUCCGCCA
rnacentral:tRNA from 1 species